rnacentral:rRNA from 1 species
GAUGAACGCUGGCGGCGUGCCUAAUACAUGCAAGUCGAGCGAAUGGAUUAAGAGCUUGCUCUUAUGAAGUUAGCGGCGGACGGGUGAGUAACACGUGGGUAACCCGCCCAUAAGACUGGGAUAACUCCGGGAAACCGGGGCUAAUACCGGAUAACAUUUUGAACCGCAUGGUUCGAAAUUGAAAGGCGGCUUCGGCUGUCACUUAUGGAUGGACCCGCGUCGCAUUAGCUAGUUGGUGAGGUAACGGCUCACCAAGGCAACGAUGCGUAGCCGACCUGAGAGGGUGAUCGGCCACACUGGGACUGAGACACGGCCCAGACUCCUACGGGAGGCAGCAGUAGGGAAUCUUCCGCAAUGGACGAAAGUCUGACGGAGCAACGCCGCGUGAGCGAUGAAGGCUUUCGGGUCGUAAAACUCUGUUGUUGGGGAAGAACAAGUGCUAGUUGAAUAAGCUGGCACCUUGACGGUACCUAACCAGAAAGCCACGGCUAACUACGUGCCAGCAGCCGCAGUAA